UACGGAGGGUGCGAGCGUUGUCCGGAAUCACUGGGCGUAAAGGGCGCGUAGGCGGUCGGGGGAAGUCCGUGGUGAAAGCUCGUGGCUCAACUGCGAGUCGGCCAUGGAUACUCCUGGACUUGAGCACUGUAGAGGCAGGUGGAAUUCCUGGUGUAGCGGUGAAAUGCGCAGAUAUCAGGAGGAACACCGGUGGCGAAGGCGGGUCUCUGGGCCGAUACUGACGCUGAGGAGCGAAGGCGUGGGGAGCGAACAGG
rnacentral:rRNA from 1 species